rnacentral:ncRNA from 1 species
CAGGCUGAUCUUCCCCAAGAGUCCACAUCGACGGGAAGGUUUGGCACCUUGAUGUCGGCUCUUCGCCACCUGGAGCUGUAGGUGGUUCCAAGGGUUGGGCUAUUCGCCCAUUAAUGCAGUUUUGUUCAAUACUUAGGUAG